rnacentral:tRNA from 1 species
GGCCCAUUCGUCUAGUGGUUAGGACAAAAGACAUUUUGGGUAGAGAGUUAAAGACUUUUAAUCUUUGAACGUGGGUUCGAUUCCCACAUGGGCUACAA